rnacentral:sRNA from 1 species
GUCGCUGCCAAUUCAGCGACCGGGCCUGAGAACCCGCGUAAGAUGCAGGCGCACCAGCGCCCCAACCCACGAUUGCCGGCGCUUUUUU